rnacentral:rRNA from 1 species
UACGUAGGGGGCAAGCGUUGUCCGGAUUCAUUGGGCGUAAAGAGCGUGUAGGCGGCCAGGUAGGUCGGUUGUGAAAACUGGAGGCUCAACCUUCAGAGGUCGACCGAAACCAUCUGGCUAGAGUCCGGGAGAGGAGAGUGGAAUUCCUGGUGUAGCGGUGAAAUGCGCAGAUAUCAGGAAGAACACCCGUGGCGAAAGCGGCUCUCUGGAACGGUACUGACGCUGAGACGCGAAAGC